GUGAUGGCGCCGGGCGAAUCCGCUCGGAGUUUGCACCGGGUUUGCUUUUCUGUCCCCACAAUGGGAUGGCACAACGUGGCCUCCCUGCUCUUUUUGGGGUUCCAAAUCAGCCCCAAAUCUGCAUCAAUUCAGCCCAAAAUCUUCCCCCAAAUCUGCCCCUUUGUCCCCAAAAUGGAAUGGCACAAUGUGUCCCCCCUGCUCUUUUUGGGGUCUCAAAUCAGCCCCAAAUUUCCUACAAAUCAGUCCCAAAUCUGCAUCAAUUCAGCUUCAAAUCUGUCCCAAAUUUGCCCUUUUUGUCCCCAAAAUGAAAUGCCACAAUGUCUCCUCCCUGCUUUCCUUUUGGGGUCCCCACUCUUUUUUGGGGGUCCCGAUUCAGCCUCAAAUUUAUUCCAAUUUUUGCAUCAAUUUAGCCCAAAAUUGAUUCUGAAUCUGCCCCAAAUCUGCUCCAAUUUACACCAAAUCUGCUCCAAAUCAGCCUUUUUGUCCCCCAAAAUGAAACAGCACAAGGUGUCCCCCUUCUUUUUUUGGGGAGGAGUCCCAAAUUUGCUCUGAAACUGCCCCAAAAUCAACCCCAAAUCUGCUUUGAAUCACCCCAAAAUCUGCAUCAAUUCACCCCAAAAUCUGCCCCAAUUUGCACUGAAUCAGCACUUUUAUCCCCAAAUGGGAUUUCCACUUUUUUGGGGGUUCCUCCAUUUUUUGGGUGUCCUGGUGGAGGAGGAAUUUCUUUCUAUUAAAAUUUGAAAAAUAUAAAAAAUCCCAGGAAAU
rnacentral:lncRNA from 1 species